rnacentral:rRNA from 1 species
CCAACAGGGAUUGCCUCAGUAACGGCGAGUGAAGCGGCAACAGCUCAAAUUUGAAAUCUGGCCCCAGGCCCGAAUUGUAAUUUGUAGAGGAUGCUUCGGACGCGGCGCCUUCCAAGUCCCCUGGAACGGGGCGCCUUAGAGGGUGAGAGCCCCGUACGGUUGGACGCCAAGUCUGUGUGAAGCUCCUUCGACGAGUCGAGUAGUUUGGGAAUGCUGCUCAAAAUGGGAGGUAGACCCCUUCUAAAGCUAAAUACCGGCCAGAGACCGAUAGCGCACAAGUAGAGUGAUCGAAAGAUGAAAAGCACUUUGAAAAGAGGGUUAAAUAGCACGUGAAAUUGUUGAAAGGGAAGCGCUUGUGACCAGACUUGCGCCGGGGCGAUCAUCUAGCGUUCUCGCUGGUGCACUCGCCCCGGUUCAGGCCAGCGUCGGUUUGGUUGGGGGGACAAAGACUUUGGGAAUGUGGCUCCCCCGGGAGUGUUAUAGCCCUUUGUGUAAUGCCCCCGACCGGACCGAGGUUCGCGCUCUGCAAGGACGCUGGCAUAAUGGUCAUCAGCGACCCGUCUUGAAACACGGACCAAGGAGUCGAGGUUCUGCGCGAGUGUUUGGGUGUCAAACCCGCACGCGUAAUGAAAGUGAACGUAGGUGGGAGCUUCGGCGCACCACCGACCGAUCCUGAUGUUCUCGGAUGGAUUUGAGUAAGAGCGUUGGGCCUCGGACCCGAAAGAUGGUGAACUAUGCUUGGAUAGGGUGAAGCCAGAGGAAACUCUGGUGGAGGCUCGCAGCGGUUCUGACGUGCAAAUCGAUCGUCAAAUCUGAGCAUGGGGGGCGAAAGACUAAUCGAACCAU